rnacentral:rRNA from 1 species
ACGAACGCUGGCGGCGUGCCUAACACAUGCAAGUCGAGCGGAGUAGUUACCUUCGGGUAAUUAUUUAGCGGCGGACGGGUGAGUAACGCGUGGGCAAUCUACCUUUUACUGGGGGAUAACACCGGGAAACUGGUGCUAAUACCGCAUAAAACAGAGAGAAGGCAUCUUCUAACUGUCAAAGGAGCAAUCUGGUAAAAGAUGAGCCUGCGUCCGAUUAGCUAGUAGGUAGGGUAAAAGCCUACCUAGGCGACGAUCGGUAGCCGAACUGAGAGGUUGACCGGCCACAUUGGGACUGAGACACGGCCCAGACUCCUACGGGAGGCAGCAGUGGGGAAUAUUGCGCAAUGGGGGAAACCCUGACGCAGCAACGCCGCGUGAAGGAAGAAGGCCCUUGGGUUGUAAACUUCUUUGAUUGGGGACGAUAAUGACGGUACCCAAAAAACAAGCCACGGCUAACUACGU